UGGAGUAGUGAUGAUCUUCUCUCAACUUCAGCGCUCUCACUGAUUACUGGACGAUGAGCAAAGACCUGAUAUUCUU